GUAGGUGGCAAGCGUUGUCCGGAAUUAUUGGGCGUAAAGCGCGCGCAGGCGGUUCUUUAAGUCUGAUGUGAAAGCCCACGGCUCAACCGUGGAGGGUCAUUGGAAACUGGAGAACUUGAGUACAGAAGAGGAAAGCGGAAUUCCACGUGUAGCGGUGAAAUGCGUAGAGAUGUGGAGGAACACCAGUGGCGAAGGCGGCUUUCUGGUCUGUAACUGACGCUGAGGCGCGAAAGCGUGGGGAGCAAACAGGGAUUAGAUACCCUGGUAGUCCACGCCGUAAACGAUGAGUGCUAAGUGUUAGGGGGUUUCCGCCCCCUUAGUGCUGCAGCUAACGCAUUAAGCACUCCGCCUGGGGAUACGGCCGCAAAGCUG
rnacentral:rRNA from 1 species